UUCAAAGGUUUCUAAAUACUUUUCCACGGCAUAGUMUGUUUUCAUAGGCUCCUAUAUUCUUUUUUGCAUAGAUAAACUCUAAACCUUUACUUGUUUUYCUGGUCCAUAAUUAUUUCCAUAAAUCACUGUGAGACAUAAAAAGAAAUGCUUUGCAUCCAUCUUGAAGCCCAUAAUGCCUCCAGAUAAAGACAGAAAUCCAGAUGUGUACCCCGCAUUUACUCUUUCCGUGCAUUUCAGCCACGGAAAAGGAAGCUGUCUAGGCUGAUGUUGUUUUCACAGAAAAGCGACUCGGGCAUACUGAGAGAUUAACUACAACCAGGUUGCCUUUCAUUCAGAAAGAGCUGACUGAAAGAGCUGGCGUUUACUGUGUGUGUGGGUGGGAAAUUACAGGGGGCUGCCUGUUUUUAAUCACGACCAUGACCGUGCAUUGAAUUUUGCCCGAUUUKAUGCUAUUUAUCUUUUUUUGUUGUUUACAUGCAUGUAAUGAAGUGUAGAUGGUUGCUGAAGUUGGAAUUUCUCAAUUUUUCCACUUCCCCCCUUGGAGAUUAAAUGUGGUGCAUAUGUGUAGUACUAGUUCUUCUAAGUGGAAAUGAGAAUUUCCCUCUCUACUUCCAGUCUUUUUCAGCAGGAGGCAUUUUAAUUCCCAAUGGGAGGGUUGUAUUCUCUGAAGAAGAAAAAAAAACAGGAAAAGACUGUUAUAGAGGUGCAAUGAUGGGAAAUUGAGGAAAGGAGGUAGAUGUAAAGUCUUCUCCCCUCCCCCUUCCUAUGCUUCCCCAUUGUCCUCCCUUCUUCAGGGUUUGAUGUCACUCAAAAUAAGCCAAUCGUACCUCGUGGACUUCCUAUUCGAGUCUUUGCUCCUCCUAUUCCCUCAGUCGUUUAAAUAUAUUCUGUGGCACUACUAUGUGCAGAGUGUACAAUGUGCUGUCGAAGAACCAGCAGCCUGUGUAGAGCGUUACCGCCAGAGAGGAAAGAAGAGAGGGGGGAACGCGCUGGUGCCUAGGAUCAGCGUUUCUGAUUCAGUUGGGAUUGGCUUGCUCCCACAGUUAAGAUGGGUUGCACAACGGAACAAUUUGCUUGCCAACCACAACCCCAGAUAAACUCUGGUCAGGAGAGUUUGUCUCUGGAGGCUGGUGGUGCUAAAGUCCCCGAAGUUCUCUCCUCCCUGGAGCGUCUGUCUCAAGCUACUGGAGGCAUGGAGAAGUCGUGGUACCGCUGCAUAUUUCCCUUCGGCAUCAUCUCGUUGGUCAUAGGGAUUGCAGGAACAGGGGUGACCUACACCUACAACGACUUGCCACAAACAAAAGUUGUAUCAGUGGUGCUACUUGUCAUGGGAGUUGUGCUACURCUGAUGGCGAGUGCUUGCUGGGUUCUUCACAAAAAGAAGAGAAGGAAAAAGAAAGAGGGAGAGUCUCUGACAUCUGAGCAGUGUCCCCUAUGAAGCACAUAAAGGAAAGCAAUUAGAAGAACGUAAAAACAGAGACUGGCCAAGAGUUUGUCUGUGCUCAAGGAAUAGCUGAAAAACCCGUCACAUUACUUUCAACCAAUGCCAAAUCYCCUCUUUUAUUUAUCACGGAGUUGAGAGACAGCUCCGGUAAAGAAAUUAGAAUCAAAGGACAGGCGUUGUUGUCUAGAGAAGGUUUUGGGAUCACAAUUCCUGAAACUCUCUUUGGUCAUCAGGCAGCAGGUACCUCUUGCCAAAACAACUAUGGCGGAGACACACAAAAACACACGGUUUGUGUGUUUACAAGCACGGAGAGACCCUUUGAGCUUUAAUGUGUUGACACCCAACACACUUUGCAGGACUGCUGCUGCCGUCAAGGAGAACGUCAGUCGCAGCAUUCCUCUCAUCGGGACAGGUGACUCUCCAAGAGGUUAGAAGUGGGCCAAAGACUGCAACCUGAUACCCAGCUGAAAGAGCAGCAUGCCCGUGUCACCCGCCAACGUCAUUCGCUCRUCCUGUGACACUGCAGCAAUGUGCGAGGGGCUUUUUAUACGCAACAGGAGAGUGGAACUUGAGUYCGCCAGUAUCUUUGCUGGCAUGUGUGCCGAUGGUGACCCGYGGAGGGCAGAGGACUGGUAAACUGGUCUCAGAUCAAUAUUUGKUUGAGGGAUUUCUUUAGAAAGUCCUGAGGAAAUUWAAAUUUUGCACACAU